UGCAGAAGUAUCUUAAUAUCUUAUCAAGAAUUUCCCCUCGGACACAGACUGUGCUGCAUGAGGACUGAGCCGACUCCCCAGCAGUAUUAUUUUGGCUUUUAAAAUAAUUAAAGUUUGGUCUGGAUCCCCCCUGCCUAGCAGACGAAGGGCUUCCAGCCUAGCCUUUAAAUUAAUACCUGGCACGUACCAAGUGCACAGAUCCAUUAGGGGUAAGUCACCACAACUGACGGGACUCAACUACCGACUUACCUGUUACCUGUGGGAUCUAACACAUCUCAUUAGAGAGCUUCAUCCAGCUCCAUCCAGCUCCAUCCAGACUCCAUCCAGACUCCAUCCAGCUUCAUCCAGCUUCAUCAAGCUUCAUCCAGACUCCAGCUUGAAGCAUGAAGACACUACUGAUCCUCACACUCCUGACUCUUGACUGCUUUCUGCUUCUUCGUCAUGUUGCUGCCGCUUCAGUUGCUGUGGACAGGUUGAGUAAAAGCAGCUGCUGUCCAGAGGAUAUCAAACCAGUAAUCAUCCCCAAGCGCAUGGUGCAGCGUGUAGAGAUGAGCCCAGACCACUGCAAAACCAAAGCCAUGAUAGUCACAACUAAGAAGAAUGUUGUCAUCUGCGUUGAUCCUGAAUCAAAGUUUGCACAGAAGCAUCUGAAACAAUUCCUGGAAUCAACUCCACCACAUCCAGCUCCACCACAUCCAGCUCCAUCACAUCCAGCUCCACCACAUCCAGCUCCAAGAAGAAUUAAUGAAUGAAUGAAUCCGUCAUCACUGAGCUCAUGGAAAUGAAACAACUGGAAUUAGUUCUCACAUCUUUUUUAUUUUCGUAUUUUGGCUGUUUCAUCUGUUUGGUUUCUGCUGGAUGCUGGAGAUGGGCGCCGCCAUCUUGUACUGGGCUAAACCAGUUAUUUAUUUAUCUUUGUUUUUGUGCCGAGUGUGUAAAUAGAUUCACCGUAGUUGUGUGAUUGUCUCAUUGUAUUUAAAAGUCUGGCCAGGGACAAAGAAGCAACAAGUCUUAAAGACAUGACGUCCUCCCAGUCGUCUCUGGUGAUGUUGUUUGUUUUGUCCCUGUUAAAUAAAAUAAAUAAAUGAAUAAAUGAAU